GGAAUCUUCCACAGUGGACGCAAGUCUGAUGGAGCAACGCCGCGUGAGUGAAGAAGGUUUUCGGAUCGUAAAGCUCUGUUGUUGGUGAAGAAGGAUAGAGGCAGUAACUGGUCUUUAUUUGACGGUAAUCAACCAGAAAGUCACGGCUAACUACGUGCCAG
rnacentral:rRNA from 1 species